CCUACGGGGGGCAGCAGUGGGGGAUAUUGCACAAUGGAGGAAACUCUGAUGCAGCAACGCCGCGUGAGGGAAGACGGUCUUCGGAUUGUAAACCUCUGUCUUUGGUGAAGAAAAUGACGGUACCCAAAGAGGAAGCUCCGGCUAACUACGUACCAGAAGCCGCGGUAAUACGUAGGGAGCGAGCGUUGUCCGGAAUUACUGGGUGAAACGGGAGCGUAGGCGGGCGGGAAAGUUGAUGGUUAACUCUCCCGGCUUAACUGGUAGCUGCGUUCAAAACUUCUUGUCUUGAGUGAAGUAGAGGCAGGUGGAAUUCCUAGUGUAGCGGUGAAAUGCGUAGAUAUUAGGAGGAACACCAGUGGCGAAGGCGGCCUGCUGGUCUUUAACUGACGCUGAGGCUCGAAAGCGUGGGGAGCAAACAGGAUUAGAUACCCCUGUAGUC
rnacentral:rRNA from 1 species